CUAGCGACAGGCCUAACACAUGCAAGUCGAGGGGCAGCACAAGGAGCAAUCUGAGGUGGCGACCGGCGCACGGGUGAGUAACACGUAUGCAACCUGCCUGUAAGCGGGGAAUAACCCGUUGAAAGACGGACUAAUACCGCAUAAUACUAAAUUACUGCAUGGUAAUUUAUUUAAACAUUUAUGGCUUACAGAUGGGCAUGCGCAUGAUUAGCUAGUUGGAGAGGUAACGGCUCCCCAAGGCAACGAUCAUUAGGGGUUCUGAGAGGAAGGUCCCCCCACACUGGUACUGAGACACGGACCAGACUCCUACGGGAGGCAGCAGUGAGGAAUAUUGGUCAAUGGACGAGAGUCUGAACCAGCCAAGUCGCGUGCAGGAAGAAUUGUCCUAUGGAUUGUAAACUGCUUUUGCAGGGGAAUAAAGUGCAUCACGUGUGAUGUUUUGUAUGUACUCUGCGAAUAAGGAUCGGCUAACUCCGUGCCAGCCGCCGC
rnacentral:rRNA from 1 species